CAUUGGAAAGCAGAAGUAGAGUCACAGAGGGGCUGCUGGUCUCCAAAAUGUCUCUCGAGCCACACUGGAGCUGCUGGGGCCUGCUGUGCUGGUGAUGGCUGAGAGCAUGAGAUAAGCCCUGGAGGUCCCUGGGCAUCCCUCAGAGGUCCAUGGCAAAGGUGGGACACCCACGGGAAUAGACAGGCUGAGGAAGCCCUCAAGUCACCCCUCAUGGAAGCCUGACCUUGAAUGUUAUCAUCCCUCUGCUUAAUAGCCCUUAAUAAAAAUCUGAGCAGGUGUCUGCAGGACACAGGACGCUUUCCGGAAAAAGCAUGGAAAAGUGAGUCUCCUAAAUGUUCCAGGUGACUGACUCAGGACACAUCUUAAAAGGAUCAAAGGAGAAUGGAGAAAAACUUCAGAAGAAAAUAACAGGUGGUUUGCAUGUUUUUUUGUGGGUUUUUUUUGUUUUUUGCAGAAAGUCCAGAAGUGCUCCACCAAAAAAUUGCAAGAUGGAAGCAGAGAGUACAGGAAAGGAAGGAGGAGAAAGAAAGGCUGGAACUUUUGAAUGCACAAAUAAAGCAGGCAGUGAAAGAUCUCAUGAGCCAAUUAAAAUCUAUGGCUGAAAAUCUGCCGGACACCAUGCAGUUGAGAGAUUUCCCUAGAGACCACAGUGAUGAGAGGAACUUGGAAGCAGAGCAAAGGAGGAAAGCAGGAAAAGAAGAACCACCCCACACACACUUAAGAAUCAAGUAAAUAAUUUUUUAAGUUAUGCACAUACAUUCUGUACGUACAGAAAAGAUAUCUAAAUUGUAUGCACACAGGAGGAGCAUUGCCCCCACAAGGAACAGUUCAUCCUACGUGGUGCGGGUGAAGAGUUUGGCAAAGGAAGUUUCCUGAGCUGUGAGCAGGGAUGAGGGCUCCGACAAGUGAUGGGAAGCCUCCCAGAUGCCAAGGUUUCCCAACCCCAGGUUUCAAGGGUAGGGGAGACGAAGUGAUAUCAUCUGAGCCCAGUGAGGCCCUGCCAAGGGACCAGGGAAAGCUGCCCCCACUUUCUGCUCCCAUACUCUCAUUGACUGUAGGUGCAUGAUCAGCUGCCUGCAAGAGGGCCUGGGCUGUGCAGGCCAGAGGAGUUGCCCUCCAGGGCACAGAGCAGGCAGAAAACAAAUUUGGAGAAUGGUCAGCACCCCGGGGUUUAUUUGUAUGAAAGUGUGUGUUUCAUUGCAUAUAUUCACAUCCAUCUAUUUAAUAAAUAUCCACGGAG